rnacentral:rRNA from 1 species
AGCUUGGUAACUGACGAGUGGCGAACGGGUGAGUAAUACAUCGGAACGUGCCCGAUCGUGGGGGAUAACGCAGCGAAAGCUGUGCUAAUACCGCAUACGAUCUACGGAUGAAAGCGGGGGAUCGCAAGACCUCGCGCGGACGGAGCGGCCGAUGGCAGAUUAGGUAGUUGGUGGGAUAAAAGCUUACCAAGCCGACGAUCUGUAGCUGGUCUGAGAGGACGACCAGCCACACUGGGACUGAGACACGGCCCAGACUCCUACGGGAGGCAGCAGUGGGGAAUUUUGGACAAUGGGCGCAAGCCUGAUCCAGCCAUGCCGCGUGCAGGAUGAAGGCCUUCGGGUUGUAAACUGCUUUUUCGG